GGAUAGAGGAAAUAACAAAACAAAAAAAAUCAAAUUUAGACCAGAAUUGUUUCUAUUGGGAAUAAUAAGGGGAGAUUAUACUAAGACUGACAAAUAUAUCAUUCUACAUAUAACAACAGUGGCCAGAAUUGUGUGUGCACAGUACUGAAACAGGAUAAUAUACCAUCUGAGGGGACUGUGAUAAGAAAGAUUUUGGACUGCGUGGAGAUGGACAGGCUGACCUUAGAGUUAAAAGAGAGAGGUGAAACAGAAUUGUUGGAAAAUGUUUAAUAAAAAGUAUGUUU